GGGGAGUGAAAUAGAACCUGAAACCGUGUGCUUACAAGUAGUCAGAGCCCGUUAAUGGGUGAUGGCGUGCCUUUUGUAGAAUGAACCGGCGAGUUACGAUUUGAUGCAAGGUUAAGCAGUAAAUGUGGAGCCGUAGCGAAAGCGAGUCUGAAUAGGGCGUUUAGUAUUUGGUCGUAGACCCGAAACCAGGUGAUCUACCCUUGGUCAGGUUGAAGUUCAGGUAACACUGAAUGGAGGACCGAACCGACUUACGUUGAAAAGUGAGCGGAUGAACUGAGGGUAGCGGAGAAAUUCCAAUCGAACCUGGAGAUAGCUGGUUCUCUCCGAAAUAGCUUUAGGGCUAGCCUCAAGUGAUGAUUAUUGGAGGUAGAGCACUGUUUGGACGAGGGGCCCCUCUCGGGUUACCGAAUUCAGACAAACUCCGAAUGCCAAUUAAUUUAACUUGGGAGUCAGAACAUGGGUGAUAAGGUCCGUGUUCGAAAGGGAAACAGCCCAGACCACCAGCUAAGGUCCCAAAAUAUAUGUUAAGUGGAAAAGGAUGUGGCGUUGCCCAGACAACUAGGAUGUUGGCUUAGAAGCAGCCAUCAUUUAAAGAGUGCGUAAUAGCUCACUAGUCGAGUGACACUGCGCCGAAAAUGUACCGGGGCUAAACAUAUUACCGAAGCUGUGGAUUGUCCUUUGGACAAUGGUAGGAGAGCGUUCUAAGGGCGUUGAAGCAUGAUCGUAAGGACAUGUGGAGCGCUUAGAAGUGAGAAUGCCGGUGUGAGUAGCGAAAGACGGGUGAGAAUCCCGUCCACCGAUUGACUAAGGUUUCCAGAGGAAGGCUCGUCCGCUCUGGGUUAGUCGGGUCCUAAGCUGAGGCCGACAGGCGUAGGCGAUGGAUAACAGGUUGAUAUUCCUGUACCACCUAUA
rnacentral:rRNA from 1 species